AGAUUAUUUCUGGGACAUAUUUCAUGGUAUUGGGAGUAAGGCUUGGUGGCCUACUACAGCUAAGAUAUAAGUUAGCUUUCAGUUUGUUUGUAAGGAUUGAGACUGGAAAUAGCAAUUGGAGCAGACUUUUAAAUAACGUUAUAGGUGUGCACCAGAAGAAGAAAGAAACGCUGGUAAAAGUCAAAUUAGGCAAUUGCAAAGGGCUGAUGUAAUGACAAUGAUUUCAUGGUGUUGGGAUUUAGAAUUGGAGAUCUGAUACUGCUAACAUGUUGGUUAGUAUCACAGCUUGUCCAUAGGGAUACUGGCUGGGGUAGCAUUUGGAUCUGUUUUCAAGGUG